rnacentral:lncRNA from 1 species
ACAUAACAGCGAGCCUCCCCCUCUAGUGCAAGGACGUGUAACAAACACUCUGAUAAGGGUGUCUUUCUGCUUGGAUGGCUUUUAGUUUCUGUCGUCUUCACUGACAUAGCCUUGAUGCUAUGUCUGUAGGAAUACUGCUGCAGUAGUUGCUGUUGUUUUUUUUUUGUUUGCUUUUCUUUAAUUAAAAGGAGCCCUUAACAGGACAGUCCCUUCAGAAAAUUAUCUUAGCUACUGAGUUUUUCCCCUGAUGAUGGAAGCCUGUGGACCACUGUGGAUCUAGGAUGUUGUUGCAGAUAAAUUGGAACUAGUGUGUGUUGGGCACGGACAGCUGGGAGGUGAGGAGUUGGAGGAGGGUUGUGCUCUGCCAGGAAGAGCAGCUCAGGUGCACAGUGCCCUGCUGUGGGAUCAGGACGGGUCUGUUCACAGCUUGUGGGUCAGGAUCAGGGGGGUGCCUGCUACACACCAGCCAGUGUAAAAGAGGAAGUAUGCAAAGCCUUUAGAACAACUGGGAGACCCUUAAAAGCCUUUGGAAGAACCUGUAGGACCAACCAGAAGAAGUUCCUUGGUUGCAGGCACUGCAGUCAGAUUCCAUCAUUGGCUUACAAAGCAUUUGAAGACAUCAGAUAAUGAAUGCUUUGCGUCCUUAUGUGGGUGUUGGCAGGGAGGGCUGAAGAUGGUCAGCACCUUGGAAAAUCCGAUCUAUUUAGAGCCAGCUGAAGGUGACCUGUUUUAUAGAAGGUGUGUAAGUACAUUAAAGACUGCAGCAUGAGGAUUUUUAGUGGUCUGUGGGGAUGCAUAGACUUCUAGGAUAUAGUACAGAGGCACUGUCUAUGCAGAAGAACUGAAGUAGCCUUAUGCAUGGUGCCACUGGCUGCAUUUUUUGGAGUGAUCCCUCCUCCUAACUUUGCUCAGUUACUUGGAGCAGUCCCAAAGUUCCAGUGAAUGAGUUAAAAAUUACUCAGUAUGGUCACUGAGGGUCCAAGGUGAAAUUUUGUUUUCAGCCGUUAGACUAUUUAUUGAAGCAGAAAUUUUCCAUGGAGUGCAGUCCAGCCAGGCCUGUCAUGCUGUCUUGCAAUGAUACAUUAAUUCCUGCUCCCUAAAUUGAACAUAAUCUAAGUUGCUUCUGUGAUCUCAGAAUAAUUGCAGAUGAAAACUUUUCAAAUAUGAAGAAGAGACGUCAUUUUUUGAGGCAGAUUUCCUGCUUUAACUAUAAAACUGUCAGAAUUACAGAGUCACCAUCAGCAGCUGCAUAAUAAUAAAUAAAUGUUAAGAAACUAAUUGCA